rnacentral:rRNA from 1 species
UACGUAGGGAGCAAGCGUUGUCCGGAAUCACUGGGCGUAAAGAGCACGUAGGCGGCUAUUUAAGUCAGAUGUGAAAUACCAGGGCUUAACCCUGGGGCUUCAUUUGAAACUGUAAGACUUGAGUGCAGGAGAGGAAAGUGGAAUUCCUAGUGUAGCGGUGAAAUGCGUAGAUAUUGGGAGGAACACCGGUGGCGAAGGCGACUUUCUGGAUUGUCCCUGACGCUGAGGCGCGAAAGCGUGGGGAGCAAACGGG